CAGCCGCCGCGGGAAUACGUAGGGGGCAAGCGUUAUCCGGAAUAACUGGGCGUAAAGGGUGCGCAGGUGGUUUAACAAGUUAGUGGUGAAAGGCAUAGGCUCAACCAAUGUAAGCCAUUAGAACUGUUUAACUUGAGUGCAGGAGAGGAAAGUGGAAUUCCUAGUGUAGCGGUGAAAUGCGUAGAUAUUAGGAGGAAUACCAGUGGCGAAGGCGACUUUCUGGACUGCAACUGACACUGAGAGACGAAAGCUAGGGGAGCAAACAGGAUUAGAUACCCCGGUAGUCCCUGUCUCUUAUACA
rnacentral:rRNA from 1 species